rnacentral:rRNA from 1 species
CCCUUAGAUGUUCUGGGCUGCACGCGCGCUACACUGAUGCAUCCAACGAGUUUUUGACCUGAGCCGAUAGGCCUAGGUAAUCUUGUGAGUAUGCAUCGUGAUGGGGAUAGAUUAUUGCAAUUAUUAAUCUUCAACGAGGAAUGCCUAGUAGGCGCGAGUCAACAGCUCGUGCCGAUUACGUCCCUGCCCUUUGUACACACCGCCCGUCGCUCCUGCCGAUUGAGUGAUCCGGUGAAUUAUUCGGACCGGACGGCCUGCAGUUCGCUGUGGGACGUUGUGGAAAGUCUUGUGAACCUUAUCACUUAGAGGAAGGAGAAGUCGUAACA